AGAUUGUUCGCAUGAAAUUCUGCAAAAAAAAUCAUGUAAAUUGUAUUGUAAUCAAUAUUUACAGUAGGAAACUAGGAAUUUUAAAGGUGUGGUUAAAAUAUAAUGCAAUGUAUCCGUCUUUUUGUUGUGGCACAUUCUGUACAACUUGAACUGACCAACUAUUAACGACGUAAUCAAGCCAACUAUCACUCUUUUUCGCAGUUAUAUCGAGAUGUUACAUCUAGAUGUGCUUCCAUUUCUUUGAGCUAUAAGUAUGAAAAUAUAAUAUUAAUUAGCUUAUCACAAUUUUUUAUAGCAACUGUUGAAUGGACAUACCAUCCUUGCUAGUUCUAGGUGGGCUUUUUUGAAGUUUUUUUGUUUCUUUACACAUGGAGUCCAAAACUUGUAUUAGUCUCUAUUCGGGAUUCACAUUGACCACGUACCAGUGUAUAUUGUCAUAGUUCACUGAUAGACAAAUCUAUAGCAAAAACAUAAUUAGCGUUCGAGCAUCUGAAUAAAUAAAGUACAGAACUGACACAAUGAGACUUACCAUGUCACGAGAAAUGUAAGUUUUUCCAUGCGAGUACCAUGAUUCUUGUUUCAUACAUCCCUUUCAUAUGCAUCACUCCUCCCAUCUCUAACUAGUAUGUCUACUAUCGAUGCUCUCUGCAUGUAGACAUGCGACUUGCCCUUAUAUCUAGAUUGGGGCGCAUGUGACGCAUCCAUGUUAUGAUUGUAUUCAUGAGCUGAAUGACACUACAAGAACAAGUUAGCAUUCAUGACGUAAAAUGGCUAUUUUUCAUAAUUAAGCACUUACAGGGGUGUGCGACCAUCCUUCCGUACACGUGCGAAUUGCAGGAGAUGUUAGACAGCUGAGUUCCUCUUUAUUCAGCGUCAAAUCAUCUAUGUGCACAAGUAUUUUGUUUUUACGGUGAUGCAUUGAUAUAGUCAAUAACCUCACCUUGCACAUCUUCAACUGGAGUACUACUAUAUGAUUUUGUACUACUGGUCUUUGGAGUAUUUUUUUUUUGGUUUUCCAGGUGGCUUAGAGUCUUCGAAGUACACGAAGUCACUAUUCUUACAUGUCGAUAUCCUUUUCCUUUGUUCCCGGUACUGUCGUGUCAUCGUGUAUCUUGAUUUUAUUUCUGGGUGAGGAGAGGACGUUGUCACUUGGCCUUUUAUUUUUGAUGUUGUUCGAGUCAGUACACUCUAGGUAAGAUGUAGGAGUUCAUUAGAAAAAGUUUGUAUUUACUAUCACGAAUAGUGUAGCCAUUUACCUCGAACUCUUUGUUCAAGUCACAGACAAGCACGAGGGAGGUUCUGUCCAUGCUGAAAUCCUUGUAUCUGAAGGUAUAUAUGAUGCCCCCCACGGGGGCCUCACAGCGUAUCCACGUUAGCCACUAGGCGUGCACCGGCUGGGCGAUUUCCUCCUCUCACGGUUGGGCGACGUGCCACUUGAAGAUUGGGCCUGUGCAAAAAUAUCUCCUGAGAGAGAAACCAAACCUAAUCCCUACGUCUCCAAUCCCCUCCCCAUCGCCUCCUUCCCAUAUGCCUGCUCGACCGCCGCCAUAGCCGCUCGUGCCGCCUCCCACUCCCUCGCCUCGAUCUCAUUCUCUCCUUUCUCCUCCGUGGAAGUAGCGCCGCUGGCGGGGCAUGGUGCGAGCGCGCGGGAGAGGCGAUGUCGAUGGAGCGUUGUAGCUCCUCCUCCCCACCCUCUUCUCCGCGCGCGCCCACCGUCGCAUCUCACUCCGUCCCCUGCUCUUCUUCGUCUUGUUGAGCGGCUGGUCGAGCUCCAUCUCUUCGACCCCGGCCAAGCCCGAGCAACGACAACACAUCGCCAAGGCAUCCUCCUUCGUCACGUUGCUGCCGUUGCCGUCGUGUUCUUCGGCCCGGAUGCCGCAAGGAGGGCUCCUCAGUGCCAGCAAAGCAGGGGAGUUUGCCCUACUAGGAGGGGAUUAACCUUGUGGAGCGCAUCGACCUCGUCAGAGCGAUAGACAUACAGGUGGUUCUCUCCAUGAUGCAUACAAGGUGUUUGAUGAAAAUACAGGCAGACCAUAGGUGAAAUUAAUUAUUAUUUUUUCUUGAAUUUAGCGUCAAUAAGGAUGACUCCCAUUUGUGCAACUUGCAUGUUUGAUAUAUGACUUUCAUGUGCAACCUACCACUAAUGAUAUGUAUGAGUAAAUUUCUAGGAAAAUAAUAUGUGCUUGACUGUUUGAGACACCCAUCAAAUAAUAUACCUCUCCCUGGAAGCCCAUGUACAGCUUUCUCAGCUGUUUGAGAAGUACUAGAUAAUUUCAGUGCCUUUUUUGCUGAUCAAGAACAGGGUUGUUGUCUUGAUCAAGAGCAAGAGCAGGGUCCUUUAGGAUGCCAACAAAUUAUCUCUAGAUUUGCAUUCUUUGCCUAUAUCGUCUCUGUCAACAGCUCGAGCAUGGACAGCAAGACUUAAGGACGUGGUCUCCACAUUAAUGCUUUGUCAAUUAUACGCGUGGAUGUGGUUUCCGACAAUGAAACUGGUUGGGCAGAACACAUUGUUGUCGGCUCUUGGUGCGUGGAGUCCACUCUUCAGGUACCAAUGUUGCAGUAGGUAGGAUCACAAGCUAGGAUGAAGGAGCUAUGCAGAUAUCCAAUCAUAACAAGUACAUUUUUCCUGCACUGCGAUCAGUUGUCAAUUCCUACUUCUCUUAAAAGAUAGUACUUUUUUGAUCUUCAAAGCUAUAGGUGUGUAUUAUGUUAAUUGUUAAUGUGGCGUGAACCAGAAACCGCUAUGAAUUUCAAGCCUUUUCAUUUAUCUUCUUGACUUUUGUUAAAACGGAAGUGAACUUGGUCCUAAACAUGCACUGGCUAUGAUACUAUCUCUUUUGUGUCAUGGAGAACUGGAAACCGCUAUGAAUUUCAAGCCUUUUCAUCAAUCUUCUUGACUUUUUGUUGAAACAGAAGUGAACUUGGUCCUAAACUUGCACCGGCUAUGGUAGUAUCUCUUUUGUGUGAUGGAGAACUAGAAACUGCUAUGAAUUUCAAGCCUUUUCAUCAAUCUUCUUGACAUUUUAUUGAAACCGAAGUCAACUUGGUCCUAAACUUGCAUGGGCUAUAUCAAUAUUUUCAUAUUUGAAUGUCUGCACCUUUUGACUAACUAAAAUAUUAUUUUGAUACUUUAUUUGUAUCUGCCCUCUAAAGCCAUUGAAUUUAAGUGUUUUGUAGAUCCUUUUCCGUCAAAUAUAUAUAUGGCCCAACGAGUCGAGCUUUUGUGUGUCUCGGUUGGACAAUAUGGGCCUGUGAGGGAUCUGUACUAACAUCUGGUCUGAAGUUUUUCAAUCCUAUGUGGUACCUUACACCUGGACAUAAAGUACCCUCAGGUUAUUUUUAUCCCCUUCUCUUCAUGCCCUUGGCAAUGCCCACUUCAGUUGUGUAGAGUGGUGUUCUUUUAUUUCUGUACAGUUUUCUACUGAGUUGCUUGAGCAACAGUUGCGUUCAUUUCCUUCUACAUGAUUAAUAACACUUGAUUUGUGAUAUUCCUGAGGGAAAGGUGUUAUAUUCUUCAUCCGCUACAAAACUGUUUUUUGUUGCUUCGGUCCAAGCUUAUGUGUCUGAUGGCCAGAUCGUCUGAUCUGAAGGUACUACUCUCUUCAGUAAGUUUUUAACAUAGUUGUAGAUGAAGUUUAAAUGAUAUGCAUAUUGUCAUCCUACUGCCAAAUGAGUAGCUUUGAAUACGUUGACCCAAGAUGGUGCUCACAGAUGCGGUAUUGCACUGGUCAAUGGUGACAUCCCAGUUCAUGUAAAGAUCAACAACCUCUAGUGCCUACCAGCCGGUACCCUCUUGCCCUAGGUUCAAGGACAACCUACGGCUUGUCUGAUCGCAUCUCUGGAUAUGAUCCACAUCUUCAAGGCAAAUGGUUUAGAGGUUAGGAAGUUUGAUGAUUGAAACUAUAGAUUAAUAGCUCCAAAUGCAAAGCCCCAUUCAGUUUGAGCGAAUAAAUAGUUUCUCAUGUAUAAAAUAUUGCUCUGGCAUGCUACAAUAUAGUAUAAUUUUAUUCAGGAUAUUCUGGAGAUGCAAUUUUAGAAAAUAGUUAAUUUCUCGUGUUUUUGUUCAUGGUGUUUCAUGAUUAGGAUGAGGUCAGUAGACAUGUGGAUUCCCAUGUGUUGUUGUCAAGAGGUAGUCAGCAUCAUUUACAGCUUGCAGUGUAUCUCCCAACUCGGAUAUAGCAUCCUGUGAGGUCAAGAUUUACUCAAAUGGUUUUACUUGGAGUUGGAGGAGGCAUUACUUCUAAGCAACAUGUAAUCCAUCGCCCUUCGCCAUUUUAUAUUCCAUAAAGGUCAGUGCUCAUGUGCCCACUGCCCACAAGUGCUGGUGAUGUUAAAAAGAUGGUCUAAAUAAAUGGAAAUCUUCCAUUUGGUUGGGCAGUGAGGUUGAGCUUAUACAGUGAGUAAAUGUAAGAAUCAUCGGCGAUAUUGCAGGUUAUUAAUUAAAAGUCCUACUAAAAUUCCUAGCAAAUAAAGAAAGCAGGCGUGCUUACCUUUAGCUGUACUAGCAAGUAUAAAUGCCAUGCACUUUCAGUUUGUGUAGAUCUAAUCCAUCUUCAGAGGCUUUUCCAUUUAUAAAAAAGUUUCUCCUUAGAAAAAUUAGAGAAGGAAAAGAAAGGGGCACGUUCAAUCGUGAUAAUGAUUGCUUACUGCUUGAUUCGUGUACACCGGUUCGUGAUUCUAAGCUGAGCACACUACUCAGCAACUCAAGACAAAGGGUAUAUUGCUUUAUGCAUCCUGUAUGUUAUGAAGUUAAGAUUAUGUGCGUUGACAGAUAAUCGUGUCUCUGCCUUUUUCUUUUCAGGUGCUACAGUGUAAUAUUAGUUUCAAAGAUCCACUUCAGUCCUGCUGUUAUCUUCAGCUACAACCAUCAAAGGAAAGCUCUUGGCUUGCAUCGAACAGUGAUCUGUGAAACAUCAUAAAGAAAAAUUGGUUUCUGAAACGUUUGUCUUGCUUAAUCCCUGGUGCUAUGCAUUACUAAUGGGGCUUAUUUCAGGAUCUUAUCUACUUUUACAAACUACUCAAACUGUAGUCAUGUUUUCCUAUGCCAUUUUCAUCUGGUGCAUAAAUGUUAUUGCCUAAAUAAAAUUCAUGGGCCUCUCAGUUUAGCAUGCGCUCACUCUAAUUAAGCAUGUUUAAGUAGUAUUUUACCUUUCUGUCACUUAUUUGUAUGUUCUUAUAUUUUUAGUGCCAUCUCUGCAGUUUUGCGUAUGUGGAAAAAAAGCAUAAACAUGCUGAAAAGCUGGUCUUAGAUAUCAAAAUUUAGUAACAUUGCUAUUAAAUAUUCUUGCAGAGUUGCUCAUUUUCUUGGUAUUUUUAGAAUAUGCUCAUAUAUAGUUACCAUACAUUAUGAUUCUUUUUUUUGCUUGAUACGGGAAGUACAUACAGUGUUAAAAUGCCAUGUCCUGUUUUUUGCAGUUCUAUAAAUGGCUGUUCUUUUUCGGUGCUAGAGUGUUGGACAUUACUAAUGGUUGCCAUACUCUUAGUGAUGUUGUGUACAUUAGCAAGUACUGUAGGUUGUUGAGAAGGAAAGGGAUGAUCAACUUGUAUAGAAAUUGAAGAAUAAGUUGAACAUUUCUUUCGAAGGAAACAACAAGGAAUCUAUCUAAUUUGCUGAGGUUAGGCGCAUAGACUUUCUAAUGAAGGUCCGCAUCCAUGCCAAUCGUUUCACCAGUCUCUGAAGUACUUAAUUUUUUCAGCUGCUUACUGUUUUGAGUAUGUUUUCUUAGAAUGUUUUCUUAGAAAACAGUGUGUACUUCUGUAUGUCUUCUGUACUAAUACUCCAUUCCACUCUAGAGCUGUUUUACACUUUUGUCCUUUCUUAUAUCAAUUAAACUUGGAGACUCCAAAGAAGCCGAGGCGGUGCAGGGGGUUGGGGAGGUGGUUCCGGUGGCGUAUGAAUCUUUGGUGGGCUGAUCCGCUAGCGGAGUGUUUGUACAUGAAUAUGGGUGUAUAGAUGCCCCUAAAUCACAGCGGAGUACAUACAAAUAGUAUGUGAUACUGGUGGUGCUUGCCUUAGAAAUAGAUGGCAACAUGCUACGGUCUUCUAUUUUGUAAAGAACUCAUAUUUGAUUUGAUAUGACUACGAAUAUUAUAGUGUUACUUUUGUCAUUGAGCCGCAUAUACUUGAAAAAAAAUCUACAACUGAGGUACAUUGUCCAAUUUUUUUUGUACUUUGAAUUAAACAUGAAUUGAUCUUCAA